ACAAAUACUUGUGACAAGUUAUCUUUCAUCGAAGAAGAACUACUUCUUACAGAAACUAGGAUGCUCGAAAGAGAACUAAAAUUGUACAUCAUCAAGAUCUAGACAAAAGUAUCCCAUUAAUGUAGUUAGAUAUCUUUUUUCUAAUUUAUAUUUCAGACUAAUAUUGCUCAUUUUUUCUUUAGACAUACAUUAUGCAUAUUAUUUUUGUGAACAUGGUACAAAGUUAAGGUAUCAUGAUAUACAGUUAAAUAAAUAUGAUUCAUAGUUAUUUUAUUCUAAUACAUAAUUAAUAUAAUAUGAUACAUAGUUAUUUUUAUUUUUAGAGAUCAUAAAUCAUGUCUUCCUGAGGUCUAAGCCAUCACA
rnacentral:lncRNA from 1 species